CCGCCCGCUGGGUGCCUUUCAGCAGGGUGCAGGGAGCUGCUUAGCACGCGAGGUGCAGCCUUCAGGGUUUUGUUACAAUUUCUCUUUCUACGCGGUGUUUAAACGCACUUACGUAUAACGCAGAGAGCGAGUAGAGAAACUCAAAUUAUCACCAAACCUUCACCUCCCCGCAUCCCACUGCCUCAGCGCCACAAACACCAUGUCCCUUCCAUCCCACUGCCUCAGCGCCACAAAGGCCAGGUCCCCUCCAUCCAGCAGCGCUGAGGUCCUUACAAACGGCAGCUCCCAGGAGGCAGAGCUGGGCCCGCUGAAGUGGAUCCCAGCUGAGGCUCCGUGGUGCGUGUCACAGCGCAGAGACGUUUCUCCGAGAUGGCUAAAGCAGCUGUUUCACAAACAGGAUGACCAGAGGCCUGUCCCGCAGGGAUGGAGGAGGAAGCAUUUUAAAAUGGCUGCCCGGCCCUUUGUUUGCUCAGCUGGAAGGUGAAGGGGAAGGCUGAGGACCAGGGGAAAUGAGAUUAAUCAAGGAGGCAGCUACCCAUGGAAAAAUACCACGACCAGGGGGAGAAAAAACAAGUUAAGUGCCUAGUUGAAGGGAACAUUUUGCUGCCUGCUAUGUACAACCUGAAUCAUUUCCCAAGAAAAUCACUCAGAGAAUUUUCCUUAAGAGUUCAGUGAAGAGGAAAAAAAAAUCUUUUUUUUUUUUUUCUUUCUUUCCCCUUACCAGGCGAUCAUUCAGUUGUAGAACACAAGUUCUCCGAGUUGCUGUCUCUAUAAUGCCAUCCUAAAUUAUGCUGUCUACGUAGCAUUUCUGCAGCUUGCAAGAAGGAAUGCUUAAUCUUUCCUUUUAGCCUCUUUCUCCUGCGCACACUGGACAAAAAGGGAAGGUUGGGCAUGGAAACUGCUUCUGCCCAUGUGGAAGUGAGUCUAAAUGGAAAAAUCUUAUUUGACAUCUGCUCUACACUCACAUGAUGAUGGCUCAUCUCAGUUCAACUGCUGUUACUACAUAUGCAGAAAAGUGACGCUGGUUCUUCUUAUUUUUGGAAGUUUUCACAUACCUGAAGUUAUAGAUGACUUCUACCACCUUUGUCUUGUUUUCCCGUGCUUCUUCCAUGUUCUAGUGGUGAAACUAGAGUUGGAAGGGCUUUAACUCUUCAGGACUCUUAAGCACAUUUGUUCUUCUACAUACAAAAAUCUCCAAGUGCUGAAUAGGAAUGAAAUAAAAUGCAAGUGGAAUGAAA